UUAGCCAGAGGAGAAAAGGAGG
rnacentral:miRNA from 1 species